AGACACCACAGUUUCAUUCCGAGGAAACCAAACCCUGGGUAAGUGCCUGGAACCCCUGGAAUCUUGCACCACUCUGAAAUUGUGGUGGUGUGCAAGAAUAUGUUAGAAGCUUUUAAAAAGAAAUGGGACUGUCAUGGUGGAUAAAAGGAGUAAAGCAUUUUUUUUCUGUAAGGGAGCGUCCCUGGAAAUGACACAAAUGAGAGAUAUCACAAUAUGCGUAGCCAGGAGCUAUAUAGCUGAGUCAGCUUUAUAGUUGUGGUAUGAAUAAGAAAUUACGCCAGAAUAUCUGCUCUGGAGACAGUAAAACGUGAUGGUUUGUUCUGUUCUUGAGACGUUGUGCCAGUAAUUUUUUUCAUACAUCAAAUUUAUAAAGUAAGCAGGAAUGUUAUAUGCAUCUUAACAGGUGCUGCCUAACACGUAUCCGUCACCACAAGGUUGAUGACAACACUGCAACAGCUAUUCCUAAGAAAUGUACAGGUAACAUGCCAUGGGAAAUGCCAAGAGUCAAAGAGCAAGAGAUCAUUCUAUGAUUUGGGCCUUCAAGAGGAAUGGUUUACACCAGUGGUAGUGAAUGUGGUGCCCUCCAUAUGUUUCUGAAGUACAGUUCCCACCAUCCCUGGCUCAUGAGUUCACAAGGGUAUAAAUAUUUCCUAGGCCUUGAUUUCUGCAGUUGGCAUAAUUUGGUGGAGUACUCUGUGGAACAGAAAUCCCACCUUGGCUAAGCUGCUGCUGCUGCUGCUGCUGCUGCUGCUUCUUCUUCUUCUUCUUCUUCUUCUUCUUCU